GCCCGGAUGGCGGAACCGGCAGACGCAGGGGACUCAAAAUCCCCCGAGGGCAACCUCAUGUGGGUUCGAUUCCCACUCCGGGCA
rnacentral:tRNA from 2 species